UCAGAUUAUUACAAUGUUCAUACAACGCGAUAAAUUUCUCUCGUGCAAAAAUGUAACCUACGUUUGCAACAUUCGUGACAAAUGUCUUCCAAACUACAGUUUUCCGAUUGUGUGUGUCGAAAUGUUGCGCGAAUAAUCUCAAUUGGCGCGGUGAAAUGAUAGAUUUGACUCUCGUAAAAUUUCUCAUCUGCCUAAAAAAAUUGAUCCUUGUUAUAGCGCAACCCCUUGAGACGAUCGUGAAAUGCGUACUGCCAAUGCUAAUCGCGCAACUAUCGGGACCAAAAUAUUUACGAUGGGCGCGAAAUUCAUUAGUCUCGCUAUCCUAUUUCAUGUGAUAUCCUCUAUGUGCAUGGCAUGAAUAAGGACAAAAAUGAAGAAACGUUAACUCAACACUUUCAUUAUCAUUAUGUACACUUAAUGAUUCCCGUUUUUGCCCGCAUUCAUCCUGUAUGUGACAUGCGUGAACCUAUAUUACACCAUAUAAUGCAACCAUUAAGGAAAUUACGAAUCCAAUCGUGACAAGUUAUCGCUGAUAAUAGUUAAUUUUUGCGUUUUAUUUUUACUUAUUCGGCACUAUAUUUCUGCUGCUGGAUUCGUAUGUCGAAGCAACAAAAUUGCCUCCCGAGAGAUAUACAUACAGCGUUUGCCAUUACCAUCAAGUGUAUUUACCGGAGGAAGCGAUGGCAUUACAGACACGCGACAGAGGAAUGUUCUAUCUCUUGGAAGGCGUCGGAAGACAUCGCCGGAAGAACGUGAUUCAUUUCAUAGUUGACAAAUAGGUCGGCAGUAGUAAUGGAAAAAUAACGAUAGCAUCGCUAGUUAUCUCUUUACUUCGGUAUUUUACGUAACGAUCGCAAUAUGAAUUCACCAUCAACGCCGAUCUUCGUAUGCUUUCAGACUAAAAGCUCCUAAAUAAAGUUUAACAUUUUUCGACUGAUAUCAA